rnacentral:rRNA from 1 species
UACAGAGGGUGCGAGCGUUAAUCGGAUUUACUGGGCGUAAAGGGCGCGUAGGCGGUUAAGUGAGUGUGAUGUGAAAGCCCCGGGCUCAACCUGGGAAGUGCAUCGCAAACGACUUAACUGGAGUAUAUGAGAGGGUGGCGGAAUUUCCGGUGUAGCGGUGAAAUGCGUAGAGAUCCGGAGGAACACCAGAGGCGAAGGCGGCCUACUGGGCUGCACCUGACGCUGAGCCGCGAAAGCCAGGGGAGCGAACGGG